rnacentral:rRNA from 1 species
GCAACUGCACAGAGCUGCUGUUUUUCACCCGAUCUCGUCUGAUCUCGGGAGCUAGACAGGGUUGAGCUUGGUUAGUACUUGGAUGGGAGACCGCCUGGGAAUACCAGGUGCUGUAAGCU